UACGUAGGUCCCGAGCGUUGUCCGGAUGUAUUGGGCGUAAAGCGAGCGCAGGUGGUUUAAUAAGUCUGAUGUAAAAGGCAGUGGCUCAACCAUUGUGUGCAUUGGAAACUGUUAGACUUGAGUGCAGUAGAGGAGAGUGGAAUUCCAUGUGUAGCGGUGAAAUGCGUAGAUAUAUGGAGGAACACCGGUGGCGAAAGCGGCUCUCUGGACUGUAACUGACACUGAGGCUCGAAAGCGUGGGGAGCAAACAGG
rnacentral:rRNA from 1 species